rnacentral:rRNA from 1 species
GACAGAGGGUGCAAACGUUGUUCGGAAUUACUGGGCGUAAAGCGUGUGUAGGCGGUCUUACAAGUCAGGUGUGAAAGCCCCGGGCUCAACCCGGGAAGUGCACUUGAUACUGUUUGACUUGAGUACUGGAGAGGUUGGUGGAAUUCUCGGUGUAGAGGUGAAAUUCGUAGAUAUCGAGAGGAACACCUGUGGCGAAGGCGGCCAACUGGACAGAUACUGACGCUGAGACACGAAAGCGUGGGGAGCAAACAGG